rnacentral:rRNA from 1 species
CGGACGGGUGAGUAACACGUGGAUAACCUACCUAUAAGACUGGGAUAACUCCGGGAAACCGGAGCUAAUACCGGAUAAUAUAUUGAACCGCAUGGUUCAAUAGUGAAAGACGGUUUUGCUGUCACUUAUAGAUGGAUCCGCGCCGCAUUAGCUAGUUGGUAAGGUAACGGCUUACCAAGGCAACGAUGCGUAGCCGACCUGAGAGGGUGAUCGGCCACACUGGAACUGAGACACGGUCCAG